GAGGCAAUAACAGGUCUGUGUGAUGCCCUUAGAUGUUCUGGGCCGCACGCGCGCUACACUGAUACGUUCAACAAGUUCCUAGGCCGAAAGGUCCGGGUAAUCUUUGAAACCGUAUCGUGAUGGGGAUAGAACGUUGCAAUUAUUGUUCUUCAACGAGGAAUGCCUAGUAAGCGCGAGUCAUCAUCUCGCGUUGAUUACGUCCCUGCCCUUUGUACACACCGCCCGUCGCUCCUACCGAUUGAACGUGCUGGUGAAGCGUUAGGACUGGACUACCGAUUAGGUCUCCUAGUUGGUCGUUCGGGAAUUUCGUUGAACCCUCCCGUUUAGAGGAAGGAGAAGCCGUAACAAGGUCUCCGUAGGUGAACCUGCGGAGGGAUCAUUGAAACCAUCGUAUCCACACGUGAACCGCAACCACUGCCGCGCGGGCGAAAGCCCUGCGUCCGCCACGGGCGGGAGCCCGUGUCGGGGGGGUGGCGCCCUGUGCGCCCCCUUGGCCUGAUCCGUUUUUCCCACCGGACGAAGCCGAUUGCCUGAAGCUUGACGUGUGCGGGGCCUCCCCGCCGCGACUAAUUGAGACAACUCUCAACAACGGAUAUCUUGGCUCUCGCAACGAUGAAGAACGCAGCGAAAUGCGAUACGUAGUGUGAAUUGCAGAAUUCCGUGAAUCAUCGAAUCUUUGAACGCAUAUUGCGGUGGUGCCUCGGUAUCACCAUGUCUGCCUCAGCGUCGGAGUACCCCCCUCACCCCCCCUUCCCCCGGGAAGGGCGCGGUGGACCUGGCCUCCCGAGGCGGACGCGCUCGCGCGCCCGCUCGGCUGGCUGAAGUGCAGAGGAGCACGCUCGGGCCUGUAUGGCACCGGCAAGGUAGGUAGCUCGACUACUCCUGCCGACGCCUUGGGCUCGCGGCUGCUCCCGCANAAACUCUUCUCUUCUCGACCUGAGAUCAGGCAGGCUACCCGCUGAACUUAAGCAUAUCAAUAAGC
rnacentral:rRNA from 1 species